rnacentral:piRNA from 1 species
UCAAAAAUGGAAAGAAAUCCAAUCGGGCC